rnacentral:rRNA from 1 species
UAAUAGCGUAUAUUUAAGUUGUUGCAGUUAAAAAGCUCGUAGUUGGAUUUCGGAUGGGAUUUGCCGGUCCGUCGUUACGAUGUGCACUGGCCAGUCCUAUCUUGUUGUCGGGGACUAGCUCCUUGGAUUCACUUCCUGGGACUAGGAGCUGACGAGGUUACUUUGAGUAAAUUAGAGUGUUCAAAGCAAGCCUACGCUCUGAAUACAUUAGCAUGGAAUAACACGAUAGGACUCUGGCUUAUCUUGUUGGUCUGUGAGACCAGAGUAAUGAUUAAGAGGGACAGUCGGGGACAUUCGUAUUUCAUUGUCAGAGGUGAAAUUCUUGGAUUUAUGAAAGACGAACUUCUGCGAAAGCAUUUGUCAAGGAUGUUUUCAUUAA